rnacentral:lncRNA from 1 species
ACUGUCCACAUAAAACAUCAUCACAUAAAGCAGCAUCACUUCUGUCCAAACAUGCUCUUGUAAUAGGCAAUAUCUGAUGUGUAUUUACCUUCUUGGUUUACAUGAACAAAGGUAAACAAGGCUCCUGAAGAAGGUGGUUCAACCCCUUUCCUCCUGGCUGGUCUCUCCUCCACCCUUCCUCACCAAUGGAUUGGACAUCUGCAAAGGUCCUCAUGGUGUACUGAUGGUUGGACUAAGUGAUCUUAGUGGACUCUUCCAACGUUAAUGAUUCUGUGAUUCCAUGAUUCUGUGACUCACUGCCCUGUUCCAGAGCUCGCCCUGACAUCCUGAAUUCACCAUGUCUGAUUGCCCUCGUGCUCAUUUCCACAUCCAGCUUCACCUCUUGAUGUGGCAUGCAGCAAAUGUAAUCUUUGAGCUGUGUCUCAAAGACCUGCAGAGCCUGUGGCUGCAGGAGGGGAAGGGCUUCAUAUGAUUUACAAGCAGUUGUUUCCUGCUGGCAGCAGAUUGUGUGCUUGCAAGGAGGACAUUUGAAAAAAGCCAGAAGUGGAGUGACACCAACUGGCACAGCUACCCAGCUCUAUGUGAGGACAACAAAGUGGUGCUUAAACAGAAGUGUGCUUUCACAUAGUGCAAUUAGAGAUGUUCUCCCUUAUGUGAGAAGCCAUCCUACGUCUGUCCCUUGGCCAAGAGACACAGAGGAACAUGGCUGA